rnacentral:tRNA from 1 species
GGGCGUUAGCUCAGCUGGGAGAGCGCCAGGUUCGCAAUCUGGAGGUCGAGGGUUCGAAUCCCUUACGCUCC